rnacentral:rRNA from 1 species
GACCUACAAGUCGAGCAGGGACGAAAGUCGGGCUUAGUGAUCCGGUGGUUCCGCAUGGAAGGGCCAUCGCUCAACGGAUAAAAGCUACCCCGGGGAUAACAGGCUUAUCUCCCCCAAGAGUCCACAGCGACGGGGAGGUUUGGCACCUCGAUGUCGGCUCAUCGCAUCCUGGGGCUGUAGUCGGUCCCAAGGGUUGGGCUGUUCGCCCAUUAAAGCGGUACGCGAGCUGGGUUCAGAACGUCGUGAGACAGUUCGGUCCCUAUCCGUCGCGGGCGCAGGAAAUUUGAGAGGAGCUGUCCUUAGUACGAGAGGACCGGG